rnacentral:piRNA from 1 species
UAGUCACAAUGGAUGCAUAUGAUAGCAUGGU